rnacentral:rRNA from 1 species
GAUCAUGGCUCAGGAUGAACGCUGGCGGCGUGCCUAAUACAUGCAAGUCGAACGAAUCUUCUUCGGAAGAUGAGUGGCGAACGGGUGAGUAAUACAUAGGUAACCUGCCCCUGUGCGGGGGAUAACAGGAGGAAACUCCUGCUAAUACCGCAUAGCCAUGAGCACCGCAUGGAGCUCAUGCCAAAUAUCCUUUCGGGGAUAGCGCAGGGAUGGACCUAUGGCG